CGCUCAGCAACCUUUCUCAUGCUGGAGUUUUCCAACAACCUUCUCACCCAAGAGCCCAUCCGACAAGGCAAUAAGAAUGGAAGCUAGCGCCAAAGCCGACGAGCCUUUAACAUUCUCACCCUAGAGUUUCGGUUUAUUGAUUUUGUUUCCAUACAAAAAUUGGGAUAGUAGAAGAUAUUUUGGAGCUAAUAACCUGAAGAGAAAGGUUUACCAGACAAGCUCAAACUCAAAGCUCUGUAUUCCAUGGAGAUUUUUCAGUUCAUGAGUUUCUUCUUCAUGCCAUUGAUACUUUCAAUCCAAAUACAGUUCUGAUAGUGCUGCAGGACAAGCCAAAGGUGGAUGCUAUGUAACUUCAAAAAACAGGGGAUGUGCUUUUGACAAAAGUGAAGGUUUGCCUGAAAGAUAGGAACUCUCAAAUUCGCUUGAGUUGCAGCUUGUGGCACCCUAAAACUUCUAUGCAAGAGAAACUCUGUAUCACACUAAAACUUCUAUAAAUCUUUGAAACAUGCUGCAUGUUUAAUCUUUGUAAUGUUAUUAAUCUUUGCCAUGUGUAUAUGCAUAGGCUCAUUCCGAUUGCUUUUAGGGAAUUGCUGCCAUCAUUCAAUUGGAAUCCAUUGAUAGAAUUAAGCUUAUUAUUUCAGACUAUAUGUUCUAUUGUGCUUGACAUUGACAAAGUUAUUAAUUUAGAAG